AACGAACGCUGGCGGCAUGCCUAACACAUGCAAGUCGAACGAUCCCUUCGGGGAUAGUUGCGCACGGGUGCGGAACGCGGGGGAACCUGCCCGUAGGUUCCGAAUAACUCAGUUAAAUUUGAGCUAAUACCGGAUAAUGUCUUCGCACCAAAGAUUUAUCGCCUUUGGAUGGGCCCGCGUUGGUUUAGCUAGUUGGUGGGGGAAAGGCCUACCAAGGCGACGAUCCAUAGCUGGUAGGAGAGGCUGAUCAGCCACACUGGGGCUGAGGCACGGACCAGACUGCUACGGGAGGCAGCAGUGGAGAAUAUUGGACGAUGGGCGAUAGCCUGAUACCGCCAUGCCGGGUAAGUGAUGCAGGCGUUAGGGUUGUAAAGCUCUUUUACACGGGAUGAUAAUGACGGUACCGGGAGAAUAAGCCCCGGCUAACUCCGUG
rnacentral:rRNA from 1 species